rnacentral:tRNA from 1 species
AAAAAGGUAAGCUAAUUUAAGCUAAUGGGUUCAUACCCCAUACAUAAAAGUUCUAAAUCUUUUUCUUUUUA